GAUAAGCUUGUGUUUCUGAAGUUCUCGAAUGUUUGCACAUUUACAUGUUUUUUAUGACUACUAAUCUUAGAACUAAACGCAUUUUUUCCGACCGGUACGAACUUGACCCUCCCAUACUGUACACAGACUGGGUUAUUCAGUUAUUCACAAAUUUCAGCAGACACGUGAUCAAGAACUGUAAGUCAUAAUUAUUUUUGAAUAAUGGCAUGCGUAAUUUACUUAAAAUCUCGUUAGAAAAUGGCGUCCAGUGAGUGUUAUUCGAAAGGUCCGUCAAUAUUUGUGUUUCUCAACAACUUUAACAAGAUUUAAAAAUUUUAUGUGGACAGAAGAAAAAAGAACACCUGUAUUCAUAAAUAUGACAAUGGCAGUGAAUGGGUAUCUUGUAUCAUUCAAAAGGGUGGAGUCGUCGAUCCUUUGUGUUGUAAUGUUACAAGAUAAACAAGUUUUUCAUCAAAAAUAUUUCUAGAAAACUGUAACUUUUGUAAGUGGCUGUUGGCAGUGUCACUUUGUGUAUGGACCCCACUCUAGCUGCCUGGCCCAGCUUUUUUAACUUUCUGUGUCGAAUGACAAAAACGUAUGAGAUUUAUGCUGAACAUUCAAACUACCAGGGCUCGACACUAACUUUUUUUCCAUGGUCAUGAUGGUGGCCCGAAAGACCAGCAGCUUUGCAACCUGCUGGUCCGACAGAAUUUCAGGUGCUCCUGCCUAUUACAUUUGUUAUUUUAAACGUGAAGAUGAGACCAAGAAAAGGGAAGGAAAACGCUGACUGUGUGUCGGCAGAAGAAAAAGGAAUUCUAGAAGUGAAGUUUAUUGACAGUUACAUAGGUUCAGGUGUGUUUGCCUCGGACACUAUUGAAAAGGGACAACUGGUUUGUUACUAUGAAGGAGAGCUGAUCUCGGGGAAAGAUGGUAUACAGAGGUUUAAUACUCCACACGAUAAAGGAAGCUUCCUUUUUUUCUUCCAUCAUGAAGGAAAACA
rnacentral:lncRNA from 1 species